rnacentral:rRNA from 1 species
GACGAACGCUGGCGGCGUGCCUAAUACAUGCAAGUCGAACGAACUCUGGUAUUGAUUGGUGCUUGCAUCAUGAUUUACAUUUGAGUGAGUGGCGAACUGGUGAGUAACACGUGGGAAACCUGCCCAGAAGCGGGGGAUAACACCUGGAAACGGAUGCUAAUACCGCAUAACAACUUGGACCGCAUGGUCUGAGUUUGAAAGAUGGCUUCGGCUAUCACUUUUGGAUGCUGACGCGGCGUAUUAGCUAGAUGGUGGGGUAACGGCUCAUCAUGGCAAUGAUACGUAGCCGACCUGAGAGGGUAAUCGGCCACAUUGGGACUGAGACACGGCCCAAACUCCUACGGGAGGCAGCAGUAGGGAAUCUUCCACAAUGGACGAAAGUCUGAUGGAGCAACGCCGCGUGAGUGAAGAAGGGUUUCGGCUCGUAAAACUCUGUUGUUAAAGAAGAACAUAUCUGAGAGUAACUGUUCAGGUAUUGACGGUAUUUAACCAGAAAGCCACAGCUAACUACGUGCCAGCAGCCGCGGUAAUACGUAGGUGGCAAGCGUUGUCCGGAUUUAUUGGGCGUAAAGCGAGCGCAGGCGGUUUUUUAAGUCUGAUGUGAAAGCCUUCGGCUCAACCGAAGAAGUGCAUCGGAAACUGGGAAACUUGAGUGCAGAAGAGGACAGUGGAACUCCAUGUGUAGCGGUGAAAUGCGUAGAUAUAUGGAAGAACACCAGUGGCGAAGGCGGCUGUCUGGUCUGUAACUGACGCUGAGGCUCGAAAGUAUGGGUAGCAAACAGGAUUAGAUACCCUGGUAGUCCAUACCGUAAACGAUGAAUGCUAAGUGUUGGAGGGUUUCCGCCCUUCAGUGCUGCAGCUAACGCAUUAAGCAUUCCGCCUGGGGAGUACGGCCGCAAGGCUGAAACUCAAAGGAAUUGACGGGGGCCCGCACAAGCGGUGGAGCAUGUGGUUUAACUCGAAGCUACGCGAAGAACCUUACCAGGUCUUGACAUACUAUGCAAAUCUAAGAGAUUAGACGUUCCCUUCAGGGACAUGGAUACAGGUGGUGCAUGGUUGUCGUCAGCUCGUGUCGUGAGAUGUUGGGUUAAGUCCCGCAACGAGCGCAACCCUUAUUAUCAGUUGCCAGCAUUAAGUUGGGCACUCUGGUGAGACUGCCGGUGACAAACCGGAGGAAGGUGGGGAUGACGUCAAAUCAUCAUGCCCCUUAUGACCUGGGCUACACACGUGCUACAAUGGAUGGUACAACGAGUUGCGAACUCGCGAGAGUAAGCUAAUCUCUUAAAGCCAUUCUCAGUUCGGAUUGUAGGCUGCAACUCGCCUACAUGAAGUCGGAAUCGCUAGUAAUCGCGGAUCAGCAUGCCGCGGUGAAUACGUUCCCGGGCCUUGUACACACCGCCCGUCACACCAUGAGAGUUUGUAACACCCAAAGUCGGUGGGGUAACCUUUUAGGAACCAGCCGCCUAAGGUGGGACAGAUGAUUAGGGUG